rnacentral:rRNA from 1 species
AUUCCAGCUCCAAUAGCGUAUAUUAAAGUUGUUGCAGUUAAAAAGCUCGUAGUUGGAUUUCUGGCAGGAGUGACCGACCACAAACUCUGUUUGUGAGUUGUGUCAUUCUGGCCAUCCUUGGUAAGAUCCUUUUUGGCAUUAAGUUGUCGGGAAGGGGAUGACCAUCGUUUACUGUGAAAAAAUUAGAGUGUUUAAAGCAGGCUUAUGCCGUUGAAUAUAUUAGCAUGGAAUAAUAAGAUAGGACUUUGGCGUCUAUUUUGUUGGUUUGCACACCAAGGUAAUGAUUAAUAGGGAUAGUUGGGGGUAUUCGUAUUUAAUUGUCAGAGGUGAAAUUCUUGGAUUUAUGAAAGACGAACUUCUGCGAAAGCAUUUACCAAAGAUGUUUUCAUCA